AUUGAACGCUGGCGGCAGGCCUAACACAUGCAAGUCGAGCGGAUGAAGGGAGCUUGCUCCUGGAUUCAGCGGCGGACGGGUGAGUAAUGCCUAGGAAUCUGCCUGGUAGUGGGGGAUAACGUCCGGAAACGGGCGCUAAUACCGCAUACGUCCUGAGGGAGAAAGUGGGGGAUCUUCGGACCUCACGCUAUCAGAUGAGCUUAGGUCGGAUUAGCUAGUUGGUGGGGUUAAGGCCUACCAAGGCAACGAUCCGUAACUGGUCUGAGAGGAUGAUCAGUCACACUGGACCUGAGACACGGUCCAGACUCCUACGGGAGGCAGCAGUGGGGAAUAUUGGACAAUGGGCGAAAGCCUGAUCCAGCCAUGCCGCGUGUGUGAAGAAGGUCUUCGGAUUUUAAAGCUCUUUAAGUUGGGAGGAAGGGCAGUAAGUUAAUACCUUGCUGUUUUGACGUUACCAAAAGAAUAAGCACCGGCUAACUUCGUG
rnacentral:rRNA from 1 species